rnacentral:rRNA from 1 species
AGCAUCCCACCUGGGGAGUACGCCGCAACGUGAAACUCAAAGGAAUUGACGGGGGCCGCACAAGCGGAGGACAUGUGUUAUUCGAAGCACGCGAAGAACCUUACCAGUCUUGACAUCCAAUGACUAGAGGUAAAGCCUCUAUCUCUUCGGAGCAUUGGAGACAGGUGGUGCAUGGUUGUCGUCAGCUCGUGUCGUGAGAUGUUGGGUCAAGUCCCGCAACGAGCGCAACCCUUGUCUAUAGUAGCCAGCAGUAAGAUGGGCACUCUAUAGAGACUGCCGGGGACAACCCGGAGGAAGGUGGGGAUGACGUCAAAUCAUCAUGCCCCUUAUGAUCUGGGCGACACACGUGCUACAAUGGCGUAAACAAAGUGAAGCGAGCCUGUGAGGGUAAGCGAACCACAAAAAUAACGUCUCAGUUCGGACUGUAGUCUGCAACCCGACUACACGAAGCUGGAAUCGCUAGUAAUCGCGGAUCAGCAUGCCGCGGUGAAUACGUUCCCGGGCCUUGUACACACCGCCCGUCAAGCCAUGAAAGCUGGGGGCGCCUGAAGUCCGUGACCGAGAGGAGCGGCCUAGGGCGAAACCGGUAAUUGGGGCU